rnacentral:rRNA from 1 species
ACGCUCGACACCUACUGGAGGCAGCAGUGAGGAAUAUUGGUCAAUGGGCGCUAGCCUGAACCAGCCAAGUAGCGUGAAGGAUGAAGGCUCUAUGGGUCGUAAACUUCUUUUAUAUAAGAAUAAAGUGCAGUAUGUAUACUGUUUUGUAUGUAUUAUAUGAAUAAGGAUCGGCUAACUCCGUGACAGCAGCCGCGGUAAUCUGAGCGGGCUGGCAAGGC